rnacentral:rRNA from 1 species
UACGGGGGGGGCAAGCGUUACUCUACGUUACUGGGUGUAAAGUGUAUGGAGGUUGUUUAAUAAGUUUUUAAUGAAAUCUUAAAAUUCAAUUUUAAAAUUGUUAAAAAAUACUGUUAAACUUUGAGUAUAUUAGGAGAUAGUUGUAUGCUUAGUGGAGGGUUAGAAUCCUUGGAUAUUAAGAAGACAUUCAAUAGGUGAAGACUACUAUCUAUAAUAUAACUGACACUAAAGUACGAAAGCGUGAGGAGCAAACAGG